GAAAGAGGAGGAGGAUGAGAAGAGGGAGAUUUGUGCACGUGAGGGCUGGGGGGGGGUUUUGGGGAGGGGGGUUCCCAUGCGGACUUGAGCUGCAGCAGCAUCAACACAAAGCCCCCCCGUAGUGGAGGCUUUGAAUCGUGACCAGACAGCCGGAAACACGAGAAAAAGGGGAGCGCCGUGUCAUUUUCUGCACACAAGACGGUACUGCUUUCUUUCAUUUGGCAGCUUUUUUAUUUUUGUACACGUGUCCUAAAUUACACAGCGCUCAGGAAAAGACUGUAGUGCUGAAGGCGAAUUAUGCAGAAAUAUAGUGUAUGCUGUGUAAAUGGAGAGGGAUACAAGACGCUGGAAAAGUGAUCAAUCAUAAACCUAUACUGACAUAAAUCUGCAUUAAGCUUCAUUAUACACCAAUACAGUAUCUUUACAGCUGUUACCAGGCCUUUGAAAUCAACUCUUCAUUGUUUGAAUUUAGACCAGUUACAUUUACAGUGGUUUGAUGUGAGGAUAUCUAAAAUUUUGUGGUGGAAAUUCAGACAUUUUUUCUUAAAAGACAGAAAUUGAUGGGAAAUGGUUGUUCAAAAUCAUGAAGGGAUGUGAUCAUCAAACUGGAGAAUCUUGAACUCAUUUAGUAAAACUGAUUUUUAGCAUUUUGAAGUUCAGGAUUUGUUGGACAUGGCUUCACAAUUCUCAAACUGCGUUUUGUGAAGCCCGUUGGCUUACAAAAUAAGAUCUGAGACAGUACUGCAGUCUAGAUCAGGUCCACUUUGGCUUGGACUGGGAAAAUAACAGUGAAAUCACAUUUUUGUGCAUUUUACAAAUAACAUUUAAAGUUUUACAAGUCUAAAACUGUGUUAUAAGAAAUCUGUCAACCCCCUCGGACAACCUUGCCCAAAUAUGACGAGCCUAGGUCUUAUAGGAUUGGAUCAGGACCAGGUACAAUGAGGUCUUAUCAGAAAAAAAAAAGUAAUUCACAAAUAAGGAGAGGUUUCAUAAAUCUGGAACUGUGUAUUAUGGAGACGGUAGAGUUUCUACAAUAAUCCAGUCUGGCUCUGUCAGUGCAGUGGUUUCAGAUCAGGACCUUGUUUCCCUAACCUUCCAUGUAUCUUUGCUGAACCAUACAGCUUUCCCUAACAGUAAGAGAUACAAGAAGAAACCAUAAAGCUUUGUGACAUAGUAGAUUCUCAUUAGCAAAUUUGUUUGGUUGUUUGUUAUUUAGUCUGUUUUAAGGUGCUUAAUCUUCGUUGAACCAUUUCUUUUUUGUUUUGAGGUUCCCACUCUGCAAAGACCUAGGCCUACUGGUCCAGUGCGCGCACACGUGCACAGUUGUCAGUCUGCAUAGGGAGGAUAGAUAUUAUUGAUAGCUUUCCAUUGUAAUUCAAAUAAACCCAACAAACAUUAACCUGAUACAAGCCAAAUAAAGGCAACUCUUUAAGUUGGAAAGUUUACAAUAAAUGUCUCUGUACCUCCGCGGAACUGGGACUCCACAAACACUGACUUCUCCAUCAGUGAAAGACUUGGGUUCAGCCAGAUUGUAACCAACGCCAUCAGGUACAGUUGUUGCAGGCGCUUGGCGGAAUUUAAACCAACAAACCAGUCACCUCUUUCCUCUCCAGUUGAAAAAUCCGCGUUAGCGUCAGCUACUUCCGUGUUUUGAGAGAGUAGCUUGGCCGAACUUUUUGAUUGACAGCUGUCCAUGACCAUUCACAACCAGCCCAAAGUACCACCCCAGAGCGACAAUUGAAAUACUGAUGUGUUUAAUUCAAUUUGGGGUUUUUUUGUCCUGUGAUGCACUGAACUGACAGACAUAAGUAUUACACACUUUACGCCUCGAUUUAAAAAAUAUUGAAUGGUUUAUAAGCUUCUCAUGGACCGCGGUAGGCCGGUCCAUCAUCCAACUUUCAGGCCGUGCUUAUGAUUGACACCUGAGAACGGCAGGUGGGCGUGGCUUCCGCACAUUUCUUCUACAAGCACGCAGCAACAGAGAUCAAUAUUCUAUGAUUUUGAAACCUACAGUCUUGGAGAUUUGUUUUCCUAUGGUCUUAUAAUUCAAAUUUUGCUGGGUGGUUACUGAUAGGUCUUCUGGUGGUAUGAAAACUCUGGAGCAUGUUUUUCUCCACUUCACAUGGACCCUAAGGUAGGCCUAACUUCAUAUGUUUUGAUGGCUUAUUUAUAAAAAUGUGCGACAUUAUAGCAAAACUGUUCCCACACAACAAAGUGUAUCCAGAUCCUUUUCAGUCGGUGCCUAAUAUAUUUAAUUCACCUCCUCCCUGGUCUGUCAAUAUGGCUGAAAAGUGUCUCAUGCUUGUGUGCAUUUUCGUCUGCAAAGGCUCUGUAAAUGAAGACAUAGCUUAUUAUUGCCCUCACAGACUGAAAUCAUGUCGGGGAGAACAGGGAUGCUCGGCAUAUGUGGAGUGGUUAUAUUAUUUAUCACCAGUAGACUAUUUUUAGCUCAUGCAGUCGUGUUGGCGUCGAGGGUUUCCGGGCACAUGGAUGGCAGGUUUCCCCGUCACCCGCAGGUCUAACGGCGGGGGGACACCCAGGCAUACCAUAGUGCUGGAAAAAAAAAGAGAAAAACAGGCAUCAGAGAGGACUCCUCCAGCUGGUUGUGUUAUUCACUCACGCACUUAAUCAGAGGAGUAUAAUUACCCAGAGACAGGAGCUGACAGAGUGCUGCAGAGGAGGCGUAUGUAGCCUUUAGAAGUCCAUGUGAUGAGGAAAAGUUAAGUGAAAGCAGAUAUGUAACUGUGAAAUCCUUGGUGUUAGACUAUCUGAAUACAUGAUUAUCAUCAUGCUUGAUCCUUAGGAUGUUACUGUUCUGCCUGGUUGUUGUCUGGUAGACUGUAGUAGGGAGGUUGCACUGCAGUAUGUUGAUUUUUAUUUAUUUAUUUAUAUAUUUAUGCUUCCAACAAAAUCCCAGGUUACUCGUUUUUGUAAAGUCUGCUAUACAAGCAGAGCUGACCCAAGCCUCAAUGGAGCCCUAAGCAAAAUUUGAUAUUGGGGCCCUCUAUUUCUGCCAAUAAUAUUGAUUGUUGAUCAUUAACACACCUUCAUGAAUCUCUUAAACAUUCCGUGACAUGCAAACAUACCUUUAUCUUGGCAUUUUUUCUCUUCUUCCUCUUUCUUUUCUCUCCUCCUAAAGAAUAUGUCCUUUUUUGCGACAUUAUUUUGCCUCAGAACUACCGCCGCUUUGGAUGCUCAGUGCACAUUGCACAACUGAAGGCACAUAACGGUAGAGGAGCUUUGACAUAUCGGCAGUAAGAAUCAUAGGUCUACAUCAGCAGCAGCACUAAAAUGUUUUUACUUUUUUGGAUUUUAUUUUUACAAUAAUAUAUAUUUGAUCAUACAGAAAGCAUCACUCAUACGUGCAAAAAAUAAAAAAUAUAAACAAAUAUUUUUUGGAUUGUUCUUGGGGGCCCCCUAUUGGCUGCGGGGCCCUAAGUAGAUGCUUAGUUUGCUUUUGCCUGUAUACAAGUAAAUUCUUUGUCUUUCAUAUCCAUCUCACAGCAACUCCUAAACUUUAAAAGAUGUAAUCAACAAGAAUAUGGCAACAAAUUUAUCAUUCUUUUAAGCCCCUCUUUUUAGAAAAGUACUUUGCGAAAAGUAUAUUUCAUGUCUGCAAAUUACAGGAUAUUUGGGAAGUCAGGUGACCGUGAAGAAAGGAAACAGCGACUGAUUCAUGCGCAGAACUACAUGAAAAUUUCAAAAAAUUUUCACAGGACAGUCAGAUUUUUCAUCUUUUACCUGCUAGCCUCCUGACAAGAAUUUAUGUUUAGGUGAUGUGGGAGCACAGGAAAUAUGAAAAAGGGCAACACCUAUCAGAAUGACUGAUAACAUGAGUAUUUUCCAGAUGAGAACAGCAAAAAAAAAUUUCAUGUUCGCCCAUAUACACAUAGCAUUAAAGGGAUAUUACGGCGAAAAAUUAAAUUAGGGUCAAACACACAGUAACACCGAGUUAGACACUCCGUCAAGAGAUGAAGGUUGCUGAACACUUGCUUCUGUAGUUAUACCAACUAGUAAGUAGUAAGUAGUAGUAGCAAUCACAGAUAGCAAUACAGAGAGCUACGCGUUCAACCAAAACGCCACUCUAUAUGAAGAGAGAGUGCUGAAAGAGAGUGGGUGAGUUGUGUGUAGUCUUUUUGCUAAAGAAAUUAGGCAAAGUUAAAAGUAUGUUUGGUGGCUAGUGCUGUGGCUGGGACCCCUGUAUGUACUGUUGCUAUCCUGCGGUCAUUACUUAAGUUGGUAUAACUAGAGAAGCAAGCAGUCGCCAUUGUUUGAACAGAACCAAAAUCAUUUGAUUCAGUGGUGGUGGCUAAAAUUAUACUUUAGAUAGACUUGUGGCUGAACAGAUGACCUACAGAGCGGUUCACAAGGAGACAGUCAUUUUAAUUCUGUCAUGAUCACAGUAAGCAAAUUGUGCAAAUCUACACAAACCAUAGAUUAUAUUACAUCAAUGACUAUCUUCUGACUGGUUUAACCUCUCUGAAUAUGAACUGAAACUGUGCUGUUAUUCUCCAAAAUAAAUAAAUAUCCAUGGCCGCACCCAGGACUUCCCAGGAUCAUCAAGUUCUCACCACUGUGAAUUUAUGCAGAUGCAAGUGUUAAAAGUCAUCUGAAACGGUCGUCACAUACACACUGCAUUGUUCCAAUUUUUCUUUCAAUUGAUACAUAAAGCAAAGAACAAGAGAUGAAUAAAGCAAAGGACAUAAAGUGAAAGACAAAAUGUGAGGACGAUGAAGGCGUCAAGGGAUGACAACAGGGUUGUCUGACGGAGAGGGAGACGUGGUAGGGAGAGGGGAAGGAGGGAGACAGAGUGCAUUAGAAAUGAUUGCAGGGGAGCGAUAGUGAGAGCGUGCACUGGAUGAGGGUAAAUUCAGAUGUUCUGGAUGAUAAUAUGGCUUUGUGUCCUAAUGAAAAACCCAGAUGCUAUCUUGCUUCUAGAAAAUGCCGGACCUCUCUCACUCUCUCUCUUUCUCUCUCUGUCUGUCUCUCUCUCUCUCUCUUGGUGCAGAGUAAAGCCACUCUCUCCGCUGUUGAAGGGCCCUAACUGGUAAAACACAGUAGGGGAUUAGUUUUAGCCUCUCGUUUCUGCCAAAGUGUCCUCCAGGUGUGGAAAGGCAGCGGGUCUGCCCUCCAUCCACUUUACAUGGAUGUAUGGAUUUCCUCCAAUCUGCCACUCUGUCUGCCUGCCGGCAUGUCUCCUUGUCCAUCACUCUUGGUGUGUGUGUGUGUGUGUGUGUGUGUGUGUGUGUGUGUGUGUGUGUGUGUGUGUGUGUGUGUGUGUGUGUGUGUGUGUGCGUGUGUGUGUCAACUCGCCUGUCUGUCUUUGUCUGGCCAGCUGUUGGUCCAGUCAGUGUAUUAUUUGUAUUCAAUGUGUAUGUUGGUGCCGGUUCUCUCUGUCUUCCUCCGUGACAGUCUUCCUCUCCCUCGUGUCUGUCUGCACAUUGACGCUUGGUGCCUUUCUCUGUUUCACUACCUCCAUUUUCUAGACGUCUCCUCAUGCUGCAUGUGGGGCUGUGUCUCUGCUUCACUGCCUUGGUUCUGCUUCAAAAAGAAAUAAGUUUAGAAAGAAAGCCUUGCCACGCCCAAAAGCAAAUUACUUUGUUAUUCACUGUGCAGCAGAAAACAAGUGAACAGUUUGGCAUCUACGCAUGAGUAAAUUCAGGUUACUGUGGCUAAUUAAAUAUGGAGCUGAGGGAAACAUUAAAAUGACCUCAAAACAUUUCUAAUUAAUGAUUUAAAAGAAUCUUGGUUUUAUUUGUAAAUAGGUCCAUUUAUCAGAGAAUUUAACUCCUUUAAAUAUUGCAGGGCCUUACCACUGCAUCCAGACUCUGCAGCCAAUCGCAAGAGUUCUAUUUUUUCCGGACGCCAGAGCAUGCCAGAUAAAUUCAGCACAGAUUAACCUGUGCUGGAAAGGAAGUCGGGCACAGACACAAAAUAAAACAUCCGACUUCUUUUCAAAAAUUAAACACUGUGUUUCUGGCAGAUCGUAUUUCACACCAUGCAAACUGGCGGGGACGAACAAGUGAAAGGUUUUUAGGUUUUCAUUUCACCCCGUUUGUAAGUCUAGAAGUAGAUUUCUUCCUCUGGAAGGACACAACCUACUGCUUAUAUGGUUAGACUAUGUGGCUAAAGACAACUCAUUGAUUGCAUGUGAAUCCACGGGUUCUUGUGAGUUCUCGCGAUUCCUGCUGUCCAUAAUCCGCCACGAAAUUCGCCUUACAAAUGGAUCCGGUAGGAAUUGGCGUACGGCGAAAAACGCUGCCAUUCCAGAUCGGAGCCGUACAGGAUGCGGUGGAAAUUCCAGGUAACUUACAGCUAGUGUGACUUACCAUUUUUAAGCAUGGUGAAGUUAGCUAUCGGAUAUAUUGUUUUGACUUUAGAAUAAAAACCCAGUAUACUUCCAUGUUGUUAAAAAAAAUUAACUUAUUGCCCAAGUCUGACUGAAACUAGACUCUUACACAACAUAUAAAAACAUUCAUCUGACUGACAUUACAUUAAACUAAACUAACUAAACUAUUCAUGUAGGUAGACAAACAUAUCAAGAUAAUACAGUCCGAUAUGACUCAAUCGGACAGUAACUAGCCUAAGUUUUCUGUGCAUACAUCACAUGCCGAGCUUUAAUAGUUCAGCAUUGAUAGGAAGCCAGACAGUAACCAAACCCUGACAUACGAGGACAGGACUGAAUAUUCUUAUUGUACAAUCAAACGGUACAGAGUUGUAAAAGUGGCUGUGUUUUUUCAUCACUCUAUGUACAUCCCGUUAGCCUCUGUUUUGCUACGUAAUACAUGAACUGGGAGAGAACGCUAUAGUAACAAGCUAAAAGGACACAAAGUCUGGAAGUAGGGACUGACAGAUAGGCAGACAUCUUUCUUAUGGUUGUAUUAAUCUGCUUGCAGUGCUUCUAAGAUGUGCAGAAGAAGCAGGUCACAACUUGUUAUUUGUAAUCUUGAAGUCAACUGUACAGAAAGUAGCUGGCUGUAAUGAAGUGGCUUGUUGGCUGUUUGACUGGCACUUGGAUACCCCUUCAAAAGGAAAACUAGGAAGGUAUAACAAUUUAUUUUAUCUGAUAGUCCUAAAUUUCAAAUCCCUCCCAAUUUCACUGCCUCUGUGUGUUUUUAAACCAAAUGUGCAAAGUUCCUCAAGAAUAAUAUAAUUAGAAUAGAAAUGUAAGUGAAGCGGAGUGUUUUGUAAAUCUUCAUUUUUGAAGAAAAUGACCUGGUUUUAGGAACAAUGUCAGCAGAGAGCUCAGAUUUCUUCCAGACUCCUGUGUUUUGGUCCUGAUACUGUUUGUUGGUAAUGGGCCAGACAGAUGUGCUCGCUAUCCAUCAGCCCAAGACACCUUCCAUGUGUCACUACCAGUCUAUUUCCCCGUGGUGCUGCCUCUCUUUAAAAUGUGUCAUUUUAUUGUUCUGAUUUCUCUCUCUUCUCCAGGGAGAGGAAUAUGAUUUCACAGAACAUUAAGUGGAUGGGAUCUCAGGGAAUAGUGUGAGAACUGGGGAUGGUGGUGGAGGAUAGGGGCGCUGAUCUGGCCUAAUUAAGCCCACUCUACCCAUCUCCCUGCUCCCCCAGCCCCAUCCCCCCACUCCUCCUUCUAACACCUUCACGCCCAGUCCCCACAACAAGCCCCCUACCCCCCUGCUCUCUUUUAGGUUUGUGACUUUCACUGAGGAGUGUGAAGGGCAAAAGAGUACUCCUCAAAUCAUAAUCCUCCUGACUUUGGGAGAAAAAGGAUUAGCCUAGCAGUAGUCUGACAGUCAUGCAAAGGCACACGCUUCAGCAUGUCGUCUGUCUAACCCUAUAUGUCAUCUAAAAAGCAUGGAGAGAGUAAAGACACUUACCAAGCCACUGAGCAGAAAAGGGUAUAUUUUCAUAUUGAUUGGGUAUUGAAUUUAGGGAAAAUGAGCGGUGAACAGACAAGACAACCUACUCUCUGUCCAUUGUCAUGCUUUUUUUGGAAUACAGUGACAACAGAAACGACUAAUUUUACACAAAAUAUUGAUUUAGAAUAUGUAUCUUAAGUGGAUUUAGCCUUUUUUUACAAAACCUGUCAGAUUUUCUUUUUUUUAACAGAAUCCAUAUCAACAGCAUACACCAUUACGGAAAAAGAUUAGGGCCACUGAGAAAAAAAGAGAAAUUAUGAGGUCCAGUAUAUUAAUACUUCUUAUUAUUAUUCUGAGAAAGAAUUCAUAACUCUUAGAAUAACCUCAGACUUUUUUCUCAGAACAAUAAAAUAUACUGUAUAUAUAUAUAUACUGUAUACGUUAGAUGUUUUCUUCCUAGUGGCCCUAAUCCUUUUCCUUACACCAUAGCCAUCUUAAAAUGAGCCCAGCUUUGAAAAUUAAAGGGAUAGUUCUGUUUUUUAAUGGGGUUGUAUGAGUAGAAUAUUUGUCAGUAGUCAGUGUACAGCAUACAGGGUUAGGGGGUCAGCUUGGCCCCUUUGAGGGGAAACCCACAGGGGAACCAGAACAGAGGCUAUAUGUUUUCAACCCUAACACUGAAUUUAUCUGUUAUAAAGAAACUUUUGACUCACAUACCUGCUGUUUUGUUUGAUUUUGAUACUAAGCUUUUGUCUUUACAGAUGUUUUUUUUUAAUUCAUGGUCUCUACGCCCUUCAUUGUUAUCCUUUCUUUUCUUCAUAACUGUAAUAGGAUUGUUGACACAUCACUAACUAAUAUUCUGGCCAUCUUUCUAUAGAAUCAGAUUAGAUUGGGCCCUGAGAUCAUGUUAGAUACGUUCUGCUCUUCUUGGCAGCAUUCCGCAGAAAAGAUGGACUCGGAAAGCUGCAACUGACCAAUCAGAAAUAAUAAUUAAAUAUAGUGGUGCACUAAUGGAACAAAUAAAAAUACUGCACUCCCUCUGACUAAUUAAAACUAUGCUGUAACUUGCCAAAGCUUUAUAACCAUGCCCCUCAUGUUAGCCAUACAUUUGGGGUUUACACAUAUACCACAUGAGGGCAUGACCUCAUGUUUUCCUAAUGGCUCUGGCCCAAGUAUCAUUGCAUGGUUCAGUGGCACCAGGUGGGAAACUAACCUUGUUUUCCCUCUGGCCUACACAAUUAUGGCAAAAUAGUCUCCAGUCAUUAAAAUCAGUGAGCUGAGACAAAAAAAAGAGAUCCGUAGAGGUCAUGAAAGGAAAGGAGGCCCCUGAUGCAAACACAUGCCCUCAACGAACCAUCCAAAUGACGACUGUAACUGUUACAGUCACUGUCAUGGAGGCUCAGGAGAGGUGGAGGGACUAGUAGGAGUGAGAAAGUCCUGCAGCUACAAUACAUGCCCCCCUCCUGCACAUCAGGCACAAGGCUCGGGCAGGCAUUGGGUGAUUGAUAGUGGUGCCAAGACAACAUCUCGUCAGGGGCCCAGUGCACAAGGGUGCCUUGCAGAGCAAUGAUGGACGAGCCCGUAGACGCUACAUAAAAAUCGAACCCGGCAUAUAUAACACAUUCCCAGCUCCCUUUCUUAACCUGUAAUGUAUAGUGAUAGAAAUUUGUUUCGCAGUCCAUUGCCGCGGACAGUGAUGGAUGCCAAAAAGAAAGAGAGGGAUAGAGGGAGAGGAGAAAGGGGAGGUGAGGGAAGGGGUUUGUGUGUAUGCGUGUGUUUGUGAGUAGGCGCACGUGUGUUUGUGUAUUUAUGCAGACAAUUCAUGGAAAUUACUGAGAAAGUCUUUGUUGAAUUCUUUGCAGCUUUUUGUUGUUGCCACUUUUGUGCAUAGACAAAAGCACACAUUCAAUUCUAUUCAAACCUUUAUUUAUUCGGGAAAGGACAUUGAGGUUUUCCUUAUUUUCAAUGCCAUCGAGACUACCAAACAUCAGAACAAGCAAACCUAGGUAUAAUUAAUGAGACUUUACAAAUUAGUUAAAACACGUACAAUCUGAAACAAAAUAAUUAGAAAUCAAAGUCCCAAACUCUGCAAAAGGAGGAAGAACUUUUUAAGUUUUUCUUUUUUAAAGUUUUUUGAAAAGUGUUUAAUGAGCUCGGGGGCAUCAUAGGAAACUUGUUUUGCCAAGCUCCAUAAACUAUUAACUCAAGGGACUUUAAAAUUUAGCAGAUGGGAGGAGCGGGUGGUGUAGGUGACAGGUUUACACUUCAAGUUUGUGAUAUCAGAUGGAAGUGUUUUUAAACUGAAACUAAACAAAAACCAGUGUUUAUUAUAUCGCUCUUCAAGAAAAGACCAACAAACUUUCUGAUACAUGACACAAUGAUGAGCAUCAUAUCUUUCCCUGCCUAUAAAUCCAAGGGUGGAGUGAUAGACAGAGUCAAGAGGUUUUUAAGCUGUGGCUGCUGCAUGUCUGUAAAUUACAUCACUGUAGACCAUAACAGACAAAAACACAGCUUCAAAAAUUCUUCUCCUUCAGGAUUGUAUUAAGUAGCAGUUUAUGGUCAAUCAAGGAUUUUAUAGGAGUUAAAAGGAAGUCGCAAAUGCUCGAUAGUUUGUUGUACAGAAUCAAUAAAACAUUAUAAAACUGUGUCAUCUGCAUAGAGACAGACAUGACAGUUGUUCAAAGAGGAAACCAUGUCAUUGCUGUACGAAGUAAAGAUCAUGGGUCUCAGAUUUGAACCUUGUGGCACACCUCUAUUGAUACAUAAAAACUCUGAUUUGACCUGACUCAACCUAACACACUGACACCUGUCAAAUUGAUAAUCCUGAAACCAUAUAUACUUUGUGUAUAAAGCCUAGCAAAAAUAGUAUGUUAAAAUUGUUUCAUCAGCACAUUAUUAAGUUUAUGUCCUUAUUUUUGUCCUUAUUUAACUUCAUACUAUCCCUGUAAAGAUCAAAUAUAAGGAACAAAUGUGAUGUGACACUUCUGCAGAUGCCCCUGUGCCAGAUCGCCCUGAUGCUAAUCAGCAGCGGUCAAGUGUUGACAUUUACUGCAUUCACAGCCAACUGUGUACCAUAUAUGUGAACACUUGGCCCUCAAUUUACACUUUAAACACACAGGUCAUACAUGUGCAUGGACAUGACCCAUCAUCACAUGUCAUACUUACACUAACACAUGCACAUACAUGCCCCGGCUGACCUGACGCUGACGCAGGAAUUAAUGAACUCUUCUUCUCGCGGCAAAUUAGAGGCAAGUUGUAGUCCUAAUAUUAAAAAAGACCUUAAAAGUGCAACAAAUGCAGCCAUGGUAACGUAGAAAACACAAAGCACAAACGUAGAUGGGAGUCAGAAAUAUAGAUCCCAAAUUUUGAUGCAUGGCAUGUCGGGUCAGGUACAGAGACUCUACAAGAUUUCAAGGUGUAUGAGUCUGGACCCAAGCUGCUGUUGUUCACCACAACGUAGCACACCACACACGAUGGGGACAAAACUGUACCAUCUGUCAACAUUCAGCAUUGUGUGGGGUCUCUGACUUUUAAAGUUGGGUUAGAUUUUUAAAACCUUUUGGUGUGUGCCAAACUUCAGUGAAAAAAAGCAUAACAUUUUAUACUGUUGCCAUGGUUGCGUUUGUUGUGCUGACUCCCUCAGUCAGCUUGCUUUCCAGUUGGCUAUCAUAGUGACAAUCCGAAGUGUGUAUGUUCAGCUGUCCUUAUAGGGUUCCCCUCACAUGUAAGGAUUUUUAAUUCUAAUUUUAGACCUUGUUUGAUAUGAACGAUUCCAAGUUUUAGAAAUUUCCUCUUGACAAACCUGGUGGUAUAAGGCAAAAUUAGGGAACAUCCAAGAUCGAGAACCAUUUGAUAAUCUGGUCUUUGCUGGCUUUUGUCAGUAGGGGGGAUCCGGCGUGAAUUCAGCAUGAUUAUCUUGGAGUGUGUACCUUGCUUUGGUCUUUGUUGUCUGGAUGGCAAAAAAACAAACAUUUUGCGACUGUUUGCAAAUGGCAAUUGGUGCAUUUCUGUUUCACAUAUGUCAUGAUAGUGGUCUUCAAGUUGUUUGGGUACUGUUAGGUUUAGUGGAAUUAUAACAAGGAAACCUCACUGCCCUUCAUUAUAUAGCAGCACUGACGCACUUAAAUUGAUCAUGUUCACAAGUUUUUGACUGUUUGUGGUGUUUGCUGUGACAGACAUCAUUCACUAUUGCCGCUGACUGGUCUUUCCUUAUGCUAGCACUAUCAACCAUCUGUUAGGUGGACAGAGAAUUUUGGUAAAAACACCUCUGAUGUUUGAAGGGUUUUUUUCUUUUUUGCAAAUGGAGGGAUGAUCAAUUUAUCUCGAUUUGGUUAAAGUCUGUCAUAGUCUGUCGGCAUGUGUGUACGUAACUUUGUUAAUCAUAGGCUUGCUGUAUGUAAUAUUGGCUGAUGAUAACUGGAAAAGUCUGUAUUUGUUCUGAUGGCACUCCCCACUUCUCAUUCACAUGUCCAACCAUGUGUGUACUGUUUAUACCUAGUUAAUGUGCUCUCACACACUGCUAUGCGCGCACAACAACACAGACCACCACGGUGCAUUGUUAGCCUAUCAAAUUGACUCGUCGUCACGAAUCUCACAGCGGCUGAUGAAUAUUAGAUGGGAGCGGAUAAUACCUCAACAGAGGAGGCCUCCCCCUGCCAAGGAAAGAGAGGCUGCACACUCAGCAGUGAAGCGCUGCCCACUGAGACCGAACCCCCGACUGCUGAAAGAUUCCCCUGCAGUUGUGAGCAGGAUGCUGAAUAACUGUGGGUGGAUUUCAUGUAACUCCACGAGUGAGAGGAAGUGUGUGAGUGUUGGUGUGUGUACGUGCAGGAGUGUGAGUUCAUGCUUGUGUAUUUCUGUGGCAGAGAGAGAGAGAGAGAGAUGACAGAGAGAGGUAUUCAUCGCCAUCCAUCUCCAUAAACCUCCGAUUGGAUUUUACAGCAGUUGCCUCUUCAUCAUGAACUGCGAUGGAUUGUAUUCCAAAGCUGCGGCUGUGAGAGGAGGAUUUCAGGGCUUAAAUUUUUUUAGCUAUGAGUGAGGAUGACAUGGAGAGGAAAAAAGCUCUGCAUCAAAGAUUUGUAUAUAUGUAUGUAUGCAGGUCUUCGGAGAGGCAAUCCUUGCAUGUUAUAGGUUGUCUGUAUAGGGCACACAUGCAGUUUUUCAUUCACUAGGCUUUUAUUUGUCAAAAGCCGUCAGAGAUCCUUGUUCUGGUUUCUCAGAUUCUUUAAACCAUCUGUAAUUCAGUGUUAACAAACAUCAACAAACACAAAAACCUUUCAUUAUCUCUUACUGGCUGGGGGGGAAAAACUACAUCUAAUUCUUACACUUCAGAAGAGGUUUGCUCACAAAUACUCUGACAUGUAUUUAAACAAGUCUGUAUUUUGAAAUCAGUUAUGAAACACAAAAAGGAAGCUUUUUCUCUGUGCUCAUAGAUGGCUGAGACGUGCUUUUGAGGAUUCCUCGAUGUAUAAGUAAACAAACACCGAAAGGGCCUUAAAAGAAGAGUAAAAGAUUGAGGUUGUUUUGACAAUGUUCCCAUUGUGUCAAGUCAGUCCUUUUUUUAGAUACUGACUAAAGCGCUUUCUUUAGAUUUGAAUAAGCAGAGUAGUAAAUCUGAGAGAAUCUGGAUCCACACACACUGUAUUACGUAUUUAAAACUAGGUAGUCUGACUUGGAUUAUUGCACCAUCGAGAUCAGAAAAACUGGGACUUGAUUAAUUGAUGUUGGCACAUUUCUCGACUGUUAAAUUGUAUAUGACUGCAUGCUCUGCAUAAUGAAGUACAACACACUCCCCAUGUCAGUUCAGGCUUAAUGCCAGACAUAACAUUCACUUCAACCCAUCAGAUCGUGUUUCCUCUAGAUUUCGAUAUAAAUUUCCAACGUAAAAUUUAUUCAUCUUUAUAAGGCCAGUGUUGAUUCUUCUGAACUAAAUGAUAACAAUGGGAGUGAGUUUUGGCAACUUAUAGAGGGUCAAGGAUUCUCUUUGGCAGAGUAGUUGUAGGUUGAACACCCAAGUCUGUGCGAGAAAGAUACUCAAUCCGUGUGAAGUAAAAUGAAGGAUUUUAGCAUUAUAUGAAAUGCUUCUUUGUUAUCAUUACAGUAAAAAUGUGCUCAUUGCAUUACUUAUCAAUAGAUCACAUGCCAUUAUUUAUUCUAUAUAUCCAGCUGGCGAUGGGUUGCACAUUUGAGAUACACAACAGUGAUGGAUUCAUUAUUUAGCCCCAAGCAGGCGGGCAAGUAAAGUCCAAGAUGUUUUGUAUCAUGCUCACCAUUUAGCCUGCCAUGCGGUCUUCGACAUACAGCUCACUAAGCAGGGAGUGCAAUGUGAGUUUAUUUUAAAUUGUUUUAAUAUCUUUUUUCAUUUCCAAUGAAUUUCCUUGUAUCUGUAAAGCACUUUGAGUUGCCUUGUGCAUGAAUGGUUCUAUACAAAUAAACUUGCCCUGCCUAAAAUAUCAUCCAGUUUUACCAAAAUGACAAACUGAACUUUUAUUUUUCAAUUUUUAAUAAGUUAGAAAAUCAGGGAGGCCCACUGUCCCCUUUGAAAAGAAUGGUGCUCCAUGAAGUGCCUCCUACAGGUCCGAGCAGACUGGGUACUCAGCAAUUUUUUUACAAGUCUUUUUGAAAUUGCUUUUUUACAGCACAUCUGUUGUUCCUGAAUUUGCAUCACAUUUCCAUGAUUGCAUUUGUCUCAAACUUUUGCAGCUCUUUUUUGACAUCGUAACAGCUCAGAAUUUUCCAGCGUUUAAUCAUUUAAAUCUUCAGCAGCAGCUGCAGCAUGUUUGUCCAUCAACACACAGCAGUGCUGAAGCCACUGACAUAUCAAAAUAUUGAAGUAGUUAAACUAUCAGUGCAUACCAAAUGAGUGUUUUAUAACCCCCAAUAAGUUAAUACCAAAUAUCCUGUAAAUAUGAGAUGUAACAUGUGAGAGUAUCGACACUGACGAUGUGAGGAGGUCAGAGCAGACUGAGAGGCAGCAAUGGAGUGUGACGUCACAGAGUGAUCUUUAUUCAGGCUGCAGCACUCGGUGUUGAAGGCAGACCCUUGAGGUAACAUUGUGUGUUCUUGUCUGCUUACUCCUCUUGUUUUCUGUCUGUUGGGAGCUGUAGCUCACUUGGUAAAACUUCGAGACUUCACUUUGUUCUUAUGCUUCAAAGUAAAACAUCAGUUUCAACAACGCCCCCCUUUCACUUACACGGAUGAUUUAUGCUAUUAUUAAUUAUUUAUUUUUGGCCUAAUGAGCUUCUUUUAUCAUAAAUUUAGUUCUCAAUCUUUGAUAUUUCUUUAAAGAAAUAAAAAGCCUUUUGGCACUCUUCUGAUGUCACAAUGGAUACUUUUCAGACUGAAGGCUAAGAAUAGCAACAUGGAAUUCAAGGAAGUCUCACUUUGAGACUCAGAGUCUCACAAACAGCCUGACUGUCUGUAGGGUAAUUAUAAACAAAAUGCUGCUCUUCAACAUCUGUGAUUUAGCAAAUAUAAAAACUAAACCAAUAACAGCCAAAGCUAACAACAUCAUGCAGCAAGCACAAGCACCUUUACAGCUUUUGGCUACCUGCAGCUUUACUUUUUUGACAUGUUGACACUUUAUUGUUUCAUACUGGAGCCGCCAGCUGCUUAGACAUUGAUUUUAAAUGUUAACACCACCUGGACACUAUUUUCAUGGCACUUAAAACAAUAAUUUGGUGAACUGAUGGUGAAUUUGGUGACUAGAUUGGGAACAUGCAAGCAUAUUGCUCAUAUAACACCCAACCAAUAACCUUGUAGCUCUCCUGCAACAGCAUGAAAUCAUCCCAUCACAAAGACGACUUCAGAUCAGAAACAUUGGAGACCUUUAUUGUGAACAUCAUUUCGUCAGCAUUUCUAAAUAACUGAAGGGAAAUCUGAAAACUGCCCUCUGGUUGUAAGAGGGGAGUUGAUCCUCUUCCAUUGUUGUUGAUGACGUUCAUUUUGACUGGAAGGUCGAGGGUGAAGGGACACCGACCAGCACAGUGGUGUUCAUUUCAAGACCCUUUUUCCACUAAGAAUGCUUUUAGCAGUGUCCAAAAAAAAAAACAUUUUUGCACUUGAGGCACUAAGCACUACUAAAAUGCAGUAAGAUUUAUAUUGCAAAUAGCUCCUGCAAGUGCUAACAAAAAAACACAGAGUGGACACAGGCCCCUGGACACAUUUGUCAUUUAGCAUCAUUGUAUCAUCAUUGUUACUAAAACCUAUUUUCUGGAACCGAAAAAAAAAUCAAACUAAAAAACUGAACAGCACAGUGUUUAAGAGUGUCAUAACACAAACCAUAACCAUCUUAGGAUCCUGAGGUCUCCUUUGAGUCCAAUGGCCAACCUGACAGCAUGCUCAGUAAUAUACAGGCUUACAGUUUGUACCUGAUGACUCAUAUUUCCUACAACCUGUAAGUUACAGGCAAUUACACAAAGAUUCGGGGGCAUAACAGUUUACUGUCGGCCAUGUUGUACGGGUUGUACCGAAAAUUGUGAUGAGUAGCUCAGUUACACUCAGUAGGGGAGACCGGGGUUUGUUGUCACACUUUUUACACAAAUGUGUACCAGAUGAAAGACCAAAGUCUCAGGCUUAUAUUUAGUAUUUGUGUCAUUUUGUGUCAUUAAGUUGUCUCACUAUAUGGGGUAAGAUGUCACAGUUGCAGCUAGUAAAACAAGGACAAAAUUAUUGCUGUUCUCAUUUUUGUUUUUACAUGAAAGUGAACAUCAAAGUCAGGCACAGAAAAUGUUUAUCAUUGAGCUAGAAAAAGUCAUUGAACAUAGCCACUGUACAAACGUUGACAUAAAAUAUUAUGAAACGUGCUCUGGAGUUUGGAGAGCUGUCUGACUCUGUAUUUCGGCUGGGAUGAAUGUUUACAAAGGUAUGGUAGUUGACAUUAAAGUCCUUUAUUGUAGUUCAGAUUGAUUUAUUAGCUCGGGUCACCUGCAUGACUGCCCUCAGCAUCAUGUCAGGUAAUGCACUGACAUGUUGUUUUUCUUUUGAAAUUCCAGACCAUGUCUUUUGGCUUUCUCUCCUCCUUUGUCCUCUAACAAGUCCACAUGUAUCACUGCUUGAAUUUUUAUCUGGAAGAACCUUUUUUUUAAAUAUAUGAAGUUGUUUUUUUUUCUUUGGGUUUUGUGAAAGGGUUAAUUUGUGCUCAUCUCAGCUCACAAUAUGCUCUUCUUUUCUCAGACAGGACAUGACCCCUGACCAUGUAAAGGAAGAAAACUAGUAUUCCCUUUUUAGUUGCGCCCUCUGGUGGCAAAGAUAAUUGCAAUGUGACAAUUUACCCAUGUGACAACAAGCCCUGGUCUCCCCUAUGCUUACAUAUGAAGUUGAGCAAAAGUUAAAGUUUAUCAAAACAUUUUGAACGUACUAAUGUCCUGGCACAUAAGCACCCAUUAAUAAAACCUAUCCAUCUCCCCCUGUGCUAUAUGGUAAUACGUCAGUUUGCCUAACACAAAACAUACUACAACAGUUAGCAAACAAGUUAGUAAGAGGCUAACUGGAUGUUUGCUGAAUGACAAAAAAGGAGGCUUUUUGCACAACCUGACUUCCUGCAGUGCAUUCAUGCUGUUCGAAUUUGGGGUCAAAGUCUGGUGUGUCCGAUCAAAGCCUGAUCAAAAUAAAAAAAAAGAUACCCAGCACAAAUUCUUUGUAUGUCAAACUCAAGAAAUUGGCCAAGUAAGACAGAUGCAUCAUGCAUGCAUUUUAAAAGGCAUUUUUCAGUUGGACUACUGAGAGAUUUUUUUACAUGUCAAUGAACUGACUGAUGAGUAGUACCAUCAGCUCAAAACUCACAAAUUCCUGGUCAUAAGUGUGUUUGAGUACAGGACAUCACUGUGAAGUAGCAAACCCACACAAGGGCACAUGUGCAAAAACAGGCAAAGUCCAAAGUCAGGACACAGGAAAUUGAUCUGAAAAGACUAACAAUCCAAAAGAGGGAGGUGAGGAGGGAGUCGAAAACACGGGCAAGGUCAAAACACACGGAGACUCUUGAGUACCAACACCGAAAAUGCAACACGGUGGGAAACAUGAGGAGAAUAUAUAGACAAUCAGGGGAUGAUGACACUCGGGUGGAUCUAAUUAGUGUGGGAUUGACACACAUGGUGGGAAACACAUAAAAGGAGCGUCAAGAAGCCAGAAACAAAAGUACUCUGAAGAUAAAACAGGAGCUCACAAGAAACGAAGACAAAAACUCAACCUUCAGUAAUGACAUACAUAUGUCAUCAGUGAGUCCUUUAAUUAUAAUUUGACAUGUCUGUGUAUGUUUCUCAACUAAGUGGUUUAUUGGUUUUGAAUUGGUUUGGUUCCCAUCCAUCCCUGACAUAGUAGACCCCUUCUAUUCAAAGACAUUGUCAGGUCUCAAUUGUAAAUAGAAAAAAGACUGGCACACACCAAUUAGCAUAUCGCAGGAUCUACCCAGCAGACGGCCUUGGAUUAUUUUCAAGACUUGGCUCAAGCAAGAGCGAUGGAAAUGUCUGACACAGGAACUGCCUCACUGUGCUCUCAUGACUAUCAGAGACAUGCUAUCAUCAGGAAUAAGCACUUAUCUGAUCGAUGGAAACACACUCCAAGAGAGGCAAGCUAACGGUUAACUUAGAGACUCAUCACUUCGAGCAGACAUUUUAAAUGACUUCAUUCCUAUGUAAUGAACCACUGAUAUCCUAUCCUAAUGUCGGCUACAGCUGAGCAACCAGCCAAGUAUAUUACCAGUCUAAAUCCUGUAAAGCCUUAAAGCUGUGACAGGGCCACCAGUGGGUCAGUGGUACAGUAGCUGCUGAAAAAAACAUUAGCUGAUAAGAUAGACUUCUUUGUGUAAUAGUAGUAAAACAGUGUAGAGUGAUGGUCAACAGCAGUAAAACAUUGUUACACAGGGUUUUAAAAGCACGUUCUGACGUUGACAAUAAAGUUAACUGCAUGAAAAUCAGUUGCGAAAUGAGCAAGAUAUCAAUUGCCCCCGCUAAGAUGGCUGCCACGUAGGCACAUCCCUUAGCAGGCUGCUACAGUGCGCUGCUGUAUCUAGUCUUCUAUAAUAUAUAUCUGUGGUAAUUGUUGCUUGCUGUCUAGCCAUCCAGUGCAGGAGCAAUUUCUUGUCAGCUCCGCCCCAUGUCUCUUCAGUAGUAGUACAUUUUGUUAAACAUAUUGUGUCUAAACUCGUGUUGCCAUGUAUCAACACAUUACCAUUUGUGAUAUGCAUUUACUAUAGUUGCCAUGGAUGCAUUUGUUGUGCUUCCUUCUUCAGACACUUGGCUUCCUAACAGCCUACAUUCUGCAUGACAGUGGAGGAAGAGGAGGCUUGGCUAUCCUUGGAGUUCCCCCAGAGUGUUAAUAUUGAGCGUUUUAUGUUUACCAUUUCAAGUUGGAGUGGCUCAGAUUGCCUUCUGCACAGAUCUGAGAAGACACUUUUAAUGCACUGCACCUCAGAAUACUUUGACAAGAUCAAUUUAAGACCCAUUCCAUCAGGCCUUUGUUGACUUUUGUUGCAAGAGGGGAACCAUGACUAAAAAAGGCAUAAUUACCUUGUAGUGUGUGCACUGCUUUAGCCACUGAAUGGAAGGAAGGAUAUGAGGAACUUUGGCAUAGCCAAUGUUGAAGUAGCUGCUCAAACGAAGUUAGUUUGUUGGCUACAGUAUUAGGGUUUCUGAACAGCAAUUUCAGGACAUACACUUAUUCAACCAUUAUGAACAGACUCAUUUGAUAAUUAUUAAAUGACUUUGAUCUCCAUACUAAUUAGUUAAAAAAUUUACCAAUAUUACAUCAUUUUGGAAAAUAAAUACAUUUAAAUGGUGCUAAAAUGCAUAGCCAUAGAUCCACCUUAUCACGCACAACAUUAAAAGCUAGCACUCUGAUAUCAAAGCAAUAAGCCAGUCAGUAGAAUUUGAAGUUUUGCUUUCUAGGUUUUAACAAACUGGGGCAAGUAAAGACUAUUUUUAAUAUUGUGAAACAGUAUGAGUAGCUUAAAGCUCAUGUAAGGAACUUUCAGUUUGUGCGGAUUUUGGCGCCCCCUGUGGAUGUAGCAUUAUUUGCAUAUCAUGCUUGAGUAAUGACUGUUAAAAAAACUUUGAAUACCACUGACCGUUGAUUGUCAAAUGCAUUGAUUUUUGUAAUUUACUGUGAAUUAUGUGGUCAUUCUACAAAAUGGCUGUUUCCUCAAUUGUUUGGCAGACACCUGCCCCCUCACUUUGUUAAUAACAUUAAAAAAUUAGGAUAUAUUGUAAAUAUCAUCAGUCUUGUCAUGGAUGGUCUGUUUUGCCUUUGGAUAUCAUGAUAAAGAGUCUGAACUUUAGACUAUUUUGUAAGCACUAAAAAACUCCUUAUAGGAGUUUUUAUCGCCUAUGUAAAUUGAUUGGUGUUUAGAAAAGAUGAAACCUCGGAACAUCUUUUAUUUUUUUUGUAUAACUCUCAGCUUGUGUCAGCUUUGGCGCCCCCUGUUGACAAAGUAACACCCCUUAUCUCUUCAUAUAUUUUGUGCUGUAGAUGUGUUUUUUCACAGAGACUUUCACCUUGCUUCGCUCCAGCAGUAGGAUGUUUAAAUCAUUGAGAUUGAUACAUGAAAUAUAAAAAAGAUUGCGCUUCAUAUUCACUUAUUCUUACUGUAUGAAAGGACGAUGUUUUUGGUGGUUAUAUUCAGGGUUGUAGUCUGCUGUUCACUGCAACUCGGAGACCCUGAGUUUGAACCAGUGUUUAUACAUGUUACAUGAAUGAAAAAGGCAUGAAACUGAAAGAAAGAAGGGAAUCUGAUACUUCAGCCUCAUUAACAUGCACAUGAACAUUGCGUCGGUCAGGCCCCAAACAUCACCUUGUCUGGUGUUGGAAGAGAAAUACACAGGCUGAUGGAGCUCCUGCAUUGCGUAUUGAUGAGUCUGACUGGAUAGGAUGACAGCGCAAAGUGAAACCAGAGACCCCUCUCAGGAUGAGGCGGGGAAAGGGGGGGGCAGGCGGCAGCAACGACGGCAGUGGUGGCGGUGUGAUUUAGCAUUUUAACAUUAUCACUUAACUAGACAGGCCUGGCAGUGGCCCUAGUGCCAGGCAAAUGGGAAAAGGAGGUAAGGAGGGAAGGGAAGGAGAGGAGAGAGGAGGAAAAAAUAUCCUGUACUAUCGGGCCAGCAUUACCUUCUUUAUUCACUGGAGAGCAAGAAAAAGGGGGAUGAAUGAUGUGAAGAGAAAUGCAGAUGAGAAAACAGAGAAAGAGGGAGGGAGGGUGCACUUCCACUAGAAACUUAAUUAUGCAUGGCAGAGCAGCUGGAGCAAAAAAGAGAGGAAGAGAGAUGGAUGGAGAGGGAAAGAGGAGAGGAGAGGACCCACCUACACAAAAGGACGGGGGGCAGAUGAAGAGGAGGGGGAGGAGGAAGGUCAGAGGAGAUAAAAAUGAGCAAGAGGAGGGGGGUUUCUGUCAUGCUUAAGGGGGCGUGUAGGUGGUGAGAGUGGCAAAUUCACAUGGAAGUCAAUUGUGUCGACUGAGCUGCAGGUGAUGUUACAUCAACAGCUAAUCUGGUCCAACCACAGCAGUUUAUCAUGGGGGAAAAAACAACUCUUAUUUUCAGUGUCUGGGGGUAUUUUUGUAGUUAUACUGUUACUCAUCUUUCUCCUUUAGUAUUGUUAAAUCCAACAAAGUACGGAAAUAAGCUAAGAUAAUAGAUAAUAGUUAAAGAAUCAAAUUUAUUGUUUUUUUUUUUCUCAAAGAAAUCAGUUUUGUAAAAUAAGAGUAAUUGAAUAUUUUUUUAACCAACCCCAAAAAUCUUUCUAAAACAAGCUAACAGAGAAAAAUAGUAUUGGUAAUAUUUAAUAUCACAGUCCAAUGUGAAAACAUCUUGAGGUGCAUUUCCACCAAACAGUCCAGUGCAGUUUGAACUCCCCACGUUUCAUUAACUUUUUACAUGAAAUAAAACAACAGACAAAGACAAGUGGAUAAGACCUAAGCUGUUUUUUUUACACUGUUUAAAACUGAGGAGCAUAUCUAACAGUGAUUUUUUUUUCUACAGCAGACUUUACCCCUGGUGCUUCACACAGGCAGCAUGUUGGUGCUGUUGUGGCCUUGGAAUAGUUAGAUUUUUGGCAUACAUGUCAUAAGAGGCCACCAUUUAGAGCAGCGCAUCUUCAUGCAAGCAGAUCUCAGCAUAAAAAAGCUAGAGGCUGUGUUUUCUCAACAACACCUUUGUUUAUGUGAUAAGCAUGUCAAAUAUACUGUGAUUGUGUUUUUCUGGAAUUCUUUUCAAAGCAAUAACCUACUGAGAAGUCCUGUGACAGUUAUUUGGCAAAAUAAGUAACUUGGACAGCUUUUUAAGAGAGUCUGCAAUUAACUUUUGCUGAACAAAAAAUUUGCCAUUUGUUAUGUUGGCUGCGAGUAUAGUUCAUUAAAUAACUGAGAUCAGGUUAUCAGAUAUUUCUUUUUGUGCGAACAAAGAUGCACUGUACUCAGUGCCGACUGUAAUUUGCUAAACUGCAACAUCCAUUCACAGAAGACUGUACUAACCCUGUGCCCCUUUUGCUCCCAGCAGAGGAAUGGCAAAAAAUCAGGAAGGCAUAGAUCGGGUUAUUAAAGUACCUUUUUCACAUUAUGAUGAUGGGAACGUAACUAUUUGCACAUUUAAAUUGAUCAAAUCACUUUGUAAAAACACAUCUUUAUUGUUGUGUAUAAUCUCAUUUGGUUUUGUAGGUCAUUAAGAUAAAACAGUAUACAUUUCUGGCUGUUUCAUAACCAUCUAAAAAACUCAUCAAAGUAGCUUUAAUCCAAGAUUAGAUUUGGUGAAAUAAGAAGUUCUUCUCUGUUAGGAUUGUGGUUUUCCUGACGUCUCCUGUGUUCAAUGAAUCAAGAAACCCAUGCGCUAUGCUCUUUCAUUUUUUGAAUAGUUUCCCACUGAAUUUUUAUUAUUUAUCAAGUGGUGUAUUGAGUGCUGCUCUGUUCCAGCACAGAAAUCUGCCUUAAGGCUCAGAUGCAAUAUAGUUUACAACAGACGAAGUAGUCAAUAAAUGUAUCAUUUAAUAGGUCAGGACAUUAUAGUAAUUCAGCCUGAGUUUAUAACGGCUCUCAGUUUACUUUUUGCAGAAGGCGCAAUAGCAAAAAGAAGCUGGGGAAAAAACUUCUAGUAAACUGUUACUGCUACAAAUCAGAAGAUAUACAAAAGUGACAGAUAAAUUACAAACCCUCCACCUGUUGACUGAAUGCUGCAUAUGAGACCAAAGUCAAACCAUUUAAAGCUGUAUGGGUUUUAUAGAUCACAAAAGAAGAAGGACAAACUUGGGUGUCCCUGUGCCCUAGCCCAUUCAUUCUUUUAAACCUCCCAGGCUCAGGUGGACCCUCAUUAAUGGCACAUCUACCACAGAGGGGGGUCAGACCCUAGGCUAUUAAGUCUCUCUUUUCAUUAAUGGGUCCGCUUACUGGAAGUGACAGAAAGGCCGUGUUUCAAUUUCUUAAAAAGCAGCCUCACUGUACUCAGAUACUGUACCUGCUGUUGCUCUGUUCCACUGGGCUUAGGUAUCCCGCAGAGUCACGCACACACACACCACACACACACACACACACACACAUUAAAAAAGAAAUAAUGAGAGCUCAAGUGUGCUUCACAAAACCCUACAAGUACACACAGACUCAAGCGUACAUAUAGGAAAGCACCCCAGUUAUCCAAGAAAAACCAGGCGCUUUCAUUCUGGUGUCUCCGCACACACUGAUGGAAGUAACUCAAGCAACUGAGCUUUGAUUAGCUGGAGUGUUUUUAAUGGACUGCUCCUGUUUUAACAGCCUCCUUUUAUAAUGGACCCAGAUGAUAACAGAGACAUGAAUAUCAAAAGAGGCGCGUGAUCACGAGUGUCAUGAAUGCAGUGUGUCUGUGUAAAUGUGUGUCGCAACUUUAGAGGCUAAGAAAUCAAGCCAGUGAGGAAUUACCAAAAUUGCAGUUCCUUGAGCGUCCACUAGAGGCUGGUGCCAAAAGUGAGUCUGUCUCCUCAGAGCCUUAUGUAAAGGGAAAAAUUGCUGCCCAAAAAAAAAUGUGUAAAGCUGAAUUCUUUUAUACAUGGCCACUGUGUAAUGGGUGAAUUUUGUAUCACUUAGCUGCAACUUCAAGAGACCUCAGCCCAAAACCUUAGGCUAACCAGCAGCAGAUAAGUGCUUUUGUCACUCUAAACUGACCUAGCUAACUUAAUUAAACCUUCUGUUGGAACAAUAGUACUACUGUGGUGAAGAGAAGUCUGUGCUCCAAUUCUUUGGUAAGUUAAUGUCUGUUGUAUUUUUUAUAUAUUUUUGCACUUAAUAGAUGGUGUCAGGGUCGUUUCACUGCUUAACAAGAGGGUAAACUAGCUCAUUGAUGCUUAAUUAAUAAGCUCCAGGUAAAUACCGCCCUGCCUUAGUCUCUUUGCUCUACUCUGCUUCUAUCAUCAACAAGUGGUCACUUUUGGUCCCAGAAAUUUAGCAUGUUGGAGGCCAUGUUAGUUUUCAGUUGCAGUAGGCAGUUGCACCAUCAGUUGGUGAAAUGGUCAGGGGCAGGUCCAGAGGGAUCAACAGAAUUGACACUGGCAUGGCCAACCAGAUUUGUCCCCCCAGGUGUCACCCUAAGAUCCAUUUGCCCUUGCCUUGUCUUGCUACAUGCAGCAUUUUUGUCAUUAUUCCUUCCAAAAACAAGACAAUAACAUAAACUAACAAGGACUGUAUGAGGACAAAAAUCAUGGUGAAUAACUUGACAAUUUUGUUAGUAAACAAAAACAGGACCGAAAUGUCUUGAACUCUCAGCUUCUCCUGCAAAGAUCACCUCUGAAAGGCCAUUACUUUAAGAGACUCACUGAAUUUCUUCCGUUAGUGGCUCUCCCUGACCCAAGGCUCAGUUUCAACGACCCAACCCUAAUUUUAAAGUCUCAUUUAGUAAUGGCUGACCAUUUUUCUUGUGGAGGGUGAUGGGACUGCACCUUACUGCCCUCUUUAGACCAGCUGCCACUUCCAUUUUGACUGAAAGUAAUGACUGAAACGUAAUGACCUUUAUAGACUAAAACUAAACUUAGGAGGAGUUCAAACAGGGAGCCUGUUGGCUGUAUGAUAGCCUUUAUUCUCUUUCUUUACACUGCUAGUAUGAUAGAUCUGGUCUGUAAAUAUGCAUGCCGAAAUGAAAAUCCAGUCUAAAGCCUCCGUGAAACUAGAGAGGGCAAAAAGACUAAAAUGUGUCUAAAUCUAAUGGGCAUUUCCAUCCAAAGACCAAGACUGAUUCUGUAAAAGCUCACUAAUUUAAUGCUGGUCAUAGGUGGCACUUUUGUAAGGUCAACCUUUAAGGCUGGCUUUCUUUGUGGUACAUUUCUCUUUGUUGGUGCUUUAAAGUCUGAACAGUGAUGUUUGAUUAUCUGUUUGAGUAUUAUCUGUUUGAGUAAAAAGAUUUAUGGUCAGUUGGGUUACUUUCAACAGUUAGAAAUUAUACACAGAGAUGUAACAACUGUCUUAUACUGUUAUAAUGCUAGUAAAGUCGCUAGUGGGACACCCCGGUCAGAAAAGCUCAGACAGCCUCAGAAUCUGGUCCUUGAGAAACUCAGGCUGCCCUUGUCUACAUCUUCUGUGAGGAAGAAUGGUUUAAACAGAUAAAGCAUCAUAGACUAAAAGUGUUACACCAUCCCGUCCUCUCCCACAUUUUCACUUCAACAUCUUUUAGUUGUUCAUCACUGAAACAGGGAGCUCUGCCAGCUAAGUAGUGCCACUCAGAAGUAUUUUGUCAACACUCAGCUACAAACAGCCCAGUCACGCAUGGCAUGGUUGUAUGGGAGGGAGUGACGGCCAGAGAGAAAGGGGUGCAGCGGAGCAGCUGGGAGCAGUUGUGAAAGAGCAGCUGGAGUAAUCAUUUUUCUGUCUCAUGUCUCAUUUUUCUCCUCUCACCCUUUUCUUUCUCGCUCUGUUGCUCACACACUUCGACACACAUGCUCUCUCCAUCUUUAUCAAUGUUUUCUCUCUUCAUCGCGCUGACGUCUAAUUUUCGUUUUUGUGUGUGUGACUUGUAACACUAUCUGACGCCAUUUCCUCUCUUUGCACUUCAAAGGUCACACACACUCAUGCAAACACAUAAUAGCGGACAGAUACACUAAACCAGCUGGGUCCUGGUGCUUAUAGCGAUCAGCAUCAAGUUCACAGGCCACCUAGGAUUCAGCUGCAUGCAUCAACAUGCAGUCAUGUUAGACUGCCAGGGGAUGAGGCUUAUACUCAAGAGACGAAAACAGAGGGCAGGACGUUUGAAGAAAAGACAAGGAUUCACAUAAAUAUAAGAAUUAGCUGUCUUGUCCUUUAAGAAUUAAGAAGGCCUCCGUAGCACAGAGAUCAGGAAGUUAAAACUAUUGGACGUCUUUUAGAGCGCAACAGCAGUAAGGUCAUAGUUUCCUCAAAUCCCUGCCUUAGCCUGGGUGUCAAGAGUAUCAGGGCAAAACUCACGUCAUCCAUUAUUAUAGCAAACAGAAUAAAGUUUUUGCAUAGAGUUGAGCUGUUAUAAGUUGAGAGGUGUGGGUGGUUUUCAAGACAGAGGGUGAAUUAAUAUUCCUUCUUUCAAACAAGGUUUAGCUCUGCUGUAACUCUGUCUUCUUCAUUAUCACCACUGUCAUAGUCCUGGUCUGAGCCCCUGUUACUGUGUAUUGUCCCAAAAAACUAGGCUGGCAAUGUUAAUCAGCAACUCCAGGAAAUGACUGACACAUGAAAAUGACAAAUGGCAGAUGAGAUAUCAGGAAAAUUUAGAUUGUAAUUGGUCUUUAAAUUGUUAAACUGAUCAAAACUGCGAAUGUUUUGACCUAAAAUCAAAGCAUUGGCAGAGAUUAAGAUGAGGCUACCAAACAGCCCUUAACUUAUGCUGGCAUGGGAAAAAAAUAUGGCAUGUGUUCACUUUUAUGUCAUCCUUCUUUGACUGUUUCUGUUUAAUAACCUUGUAAUCUUUCGUGUUUAAAGCUUGAUUUUACACCCACUUUUGCAUCAAAAUAUUCCAAUGAAGCAAUAAAUGGUUUGAUUUGUUGAAUAAAUUAAACAAAUCCUUAUCUGAGGCAGCACACAGUUGAAGAAUAUCUCAGAUGGGUCAUAUCAACCUAUAUUACUCCUUAAAGAAAACUGAAAACAAAACAUUAUGCAUGUCCUCUCUAAAGUAUCAUAAUGAGCAAAAAUUUUCUGAGUGAAGAAAUAACACUGCUGGAGGAGGUUGAAAGGAUUUCCUGUGGUCCUGGGUUGUUGUAUAUAAAACAGCUAAGCAAACUGUAGAUUCUCAAUUAUUCAUCAUGCCUUUCCAGCUGAUUUGUCAGUAAACAACGGCGCAGAGCUUCUCAGUCUGUAUGCUGCGCUGUGGCAUUCAGCUCUGCAGCUGCAGAAAAGUUGCCUGCAGUGGGUUUAUUUGCUGCUGCUGCUGCUGCUGCCACACUGCCCUCUACCAGCUCAGCUCUAUUAGUUCAGCUUCACCACCUCCCAGCGGCCCAGAGGUUGUGACAAAGUGCUAGUUAAUGUCUGUCUGUGUGUGUAUACGUGUGUGUAAACGUGUGCGUGUGUGUGCGGCAUGUGAUUCAUUGUUCUCUCUGGGCAGAUUAAGGGGGUAUAAUGACAUGCAUAUGGAGGACCAUAUACGGCGAGGAAGUAAUUCAGGAAGUUGAGGUAAUAAUUGGCUUCGGUUCAGGGGCCACUUACUAUGGAAAUCCGGGACAUUUAAGUCUUAAAGGAAUAAAACAGAAAAGUGACACGACAUACUUAGACCCAGGAAGAUCCUUAUUUGUAAAAUAUUAAUGAGAUCCCCAGGAAACAAAUUAGUUCUUUGUGUCCAUUACAUAGAUUUAAAUGACGGCAGCUUCUUGGAGAAAAUCUGUGAUAUUUUGAUAAACAGCAGAUAUGCACCCUAAAUCACUUUUAUGUCUCUCAAAACAUACAAACCUUUUUGUCAUAGCUCCACUGAAACCUUUCCUGGAGCCCAAACUGAGACCUAUAGGCUCUAAAGAUGCAAGAAGUCUAUUGUCUCCCAAAGGUCAGCCUGUAGCACAUUUUUACACACUCAAAUGUAUUUUUAACAGACUCAACAUGCUGAAAAUUGUAUAAAACAUUCAUUAAUCACAUGCUAAAUAAUAAAAAUAAAAUCAUUAACUUAGAAAUUUCCAAACUGUUCUUAAAAAUUAACAUCCAAAGUUUUUCAAGCAUCACAAAAGUCUUAUUUGAAAUUAUCAAAAAAAAAAUCUUGAAAGUUUUGUUUUACUUCAUUUUGAAAAUCUUCAAAAUACUUUAAUUCAAAUUUGCAGAAAAUUCAUCAAGUUCUACAACUGUUUUUUAUAGAGGUUUUUAAAAAGUUGAUUAAGAUUUAAGUAAGUCAAAUGUUCGAGACAGUAUCUAUUGAAUACUAGUUUUAAGUUCCUAAAAUUUUCAUUAUGCAUGUUGACAGCAACCCUGACUAUCGCAAGUUUCUUCUUAUAACCCAAAGUUUCUUCUGAAUACUCCUUCAAAAUAUUUUACUGAAGUUUUCAUCAAAAUCAUCUGAAAAAUUUAUGUAACAAAGUGGGAAUAAUCCUGUUUUUUUAUUUUUUAUUUAUUGAAAUAAAAAAAUCCCCAAAUUUCCUAAAAUAUCUGAAGGUCCUCAUAACAUUUUCUGGGUUUCUUGCAAAUUUUGCCAAAAAUUAAUCGCUUCUGGAAACAACCAUAAAUUUGUAUUACAGCUCAGUGGCAGACCUACGGUAUGGUCAUCUUAACUGAUACACUAUGAUCACUUUUCCCUCUUUCUAUUAUAAUUCAUACUGGUGACAUUAAAUUAUUCAUCCAUCCAUUUAUGCUAACUUGGCAAUGUUAAUGUCUUGGGGGUGGUCAGUGAUUGAAAUCCUCUUCCUUCAGUUACAGGUUCAACCAGCCAUGUAUUAAAAACGUCAAGAACCAGAAAGUGUACACAGGCAGCAGUAAUGACUGUAAAACUCGCUCUCAAGUUCUUUUAAAUCACAAACUAAACUUUAAAAUCAAUUAUCUUAAGUAAUUCUUAAAGUAAAAGAAUGAUAUGAAGCAUUUAAUGAUAAAUUAUCAAGCUGCAUUUCCUCAAGUUUGAAAUCCAUGUAAUGCGCUACCUGUUUUGUUGGCAACAACCUACCUCAACAUUCAGUGUGGCAACAGUGCUAAAGAUAGUAAAACACCUUCUCCAGUUAGGCAGAUAGGUGGAUGAGAGGAGAUCAGAGCCCAUCACAGCAACAAAGCUCUUCUGGUAGCUCUGUCUUCCUCCUCCUCGUCCCCUGGGAGCAGCGUCUAAUCACAUGGAGCUCCUGAAGCUGUCACUGCUGGUCAGACUGUCUAACUGUUGUCAAACACUGAAUAAGACAGACCGUCACAUCACCGUAGGAGAUGGCAGAUGGUUCCAGGUUGAAAGAUAACUGGGAUGCACGAUAUUGAAGAUAUCGUUGGAUGACAUUUUUACCAGACUUUUCAUGAAAUCAUAGCCUUUAACUUUAGGAAGCCACUAGAGCUGAGACGUUUGUUGAAUCUUUUAGAGCUUUAGGACCACAUACAUUCAGUUAAUGGUGUGUCUAUCGGUCCAAAUGGCCUCAUAAUGAUUUCAAAUGAGCGUAGUGUGUGAGUCCCUUGAGGUAGUGAGUGAAGCAAACAUGAGGAAGACAGAAAGUGGAUGAAAAACAAGGAUUUGAUAUGAUAACAUGAAUAAAGCACAGGCAUCCCUCAUAAAUGUUAAUUAUGUCUGUUUUCUAUCUGGGUGCAGCAGUUUCAGGGCUCUUGUUGGAGAGAUUUGAAAAGAAAUGAGAUUCCUAAUGAGGUUUUACUGAAACAUGUGCUUUUCAGGCUUUAAUACGUGUUUGGUUUAUGCAAUCUAAAUAUUCAGAGGGGCGCAACCUGUGUAGCCUCUGUAACUGGAUAAGCAUGAUGAGAUGUUUGUGGGUGAUAUUGCCCAACCCAAGGCUUUAUUACCCUAGAAUAUGUACCCUGAAAAGAGGAUGUAGUCGAUGCUGAACUUCUAUGAGCAUGCAUGAUCCCAUUUAGAUUUGAAUAGACAGGAAGAGCCCCACACACACACACUCACACCUAUGAUGAUGGCUCAGCGUUGGGACAACCCGAUUCCACUAAUGUGCCCCUGUAGUAUUCACAGUGUAAGUGAGACGUUUGGGCAGAGUAAUUGCUGUGAAUUUAAGAGGAAAUGAGAGAAGGACUUGAGUGGAUUCGGUCCUUAAGCUGUAUUUGCUGACCUGUCUUUGUCUUUGUACAACUCGAAUGGCAAAAAUACUAGGAUACUGUAUAACAUGUUAGAAAAACUGAAUUUAAUGGUUUGCAAAGCUUAGAAACUGUGCAUUUUUUAAAAAGUUGUUCAGAGAGAACAUUUUAAAUGGAAAAAAUGUUAGGAUUGAAUUAAAAAUAUGAACCAUUGUGAUGCCGGCAACAUGUGUCAAUAAAGUUUGGCACAGGACCGCGUUGACCGUUGGGCUGCAGCAUUUCUGGAUCAUGUUCAUAUUGGGUUUUCUUUUGAAUCAUACAUUCUCAACCUGCGUAUGUGGAUGCAGGGAAGAACUGGACUUUAUUCACAGAUAGUAGCACCUGGAUAUGAUUUGGGGCCAAUGCGGUGAAUCCCACUGCAGAGUAAUAUCUGUUUUUCAUGCAGUGUCACCUGAGGGCCAUCAUUGCCAUCCAGCAUCAGUUAUCAGCUAUGUUUUUUUUUUGUACAAAGAUUUCUCUAGAGUCUCAAAAAUGUUUUUACAAUAUCAUGUAGCAUAGUUGACAAAAUCUUCUAAUUCUUUGUAAUUUUAUGUUUAGGAGCUCUAUUUUGGAGUCGCUCAACUCAACUCACCAACUUCAAACCAAAUUUAUUUACACCGCACCUUUCAUAUCUGUUAUCAUGCAGCCAAAAGUGCUUCACAACAGAGUGGUGAACCCUAUAUUUACUCCUCAGACACUCUGACUUUCUGAACACCCUUUUUUUAUACCCAGCCACAAUGCAAAUUAACCACUUUGGCAAAUUUGUAUGCUUUUUUAGCACAUUUUUUACUGGCAUCAAAUUUCAAACAGGCACAUAUUUUUCAUACAACAAUAUUAUCUGUCAGUAUCAAUGUUUGUUUUGUUGUCUUGGCAUCAUUUUCAUUUAAAUAUAGGCUUUGAAUUAUGUGCAAACCAUUAAAAUCUGGUUUUAUCAACAUUUUAUUCAUUUCAAAGCAUCCCAGCUUUUUUAAAGUGAUCAUUUAAACUGCAUAAUGAAAGUAUAGAUAGUUUAAGAACUUGCACUGUCCAUGUUCAGCUGGAGUUAUUGUGAUCUUGAUUUAAAUCUUGUGAAUUGCAUUCUUGUUGAUAGUUCAUCUCCUAGUUAAUAAAAGUGUGUAAGAAACCACAGAAGAACAACAUGUUGACCUCAGAUUUUAUAUUUUAAGAGCUAUUAUGUCGUGUAAUCAUGCCUCAAGCCCAUGUAUCUUGACUUUGACUAAAUAAAAUGAUAUUUCAUAUGUUCUAAGUGUUGUUUCUGCACUUUUUCUCCCCUAAAACUCUCAGCAGAUUCUUUGUUUAGGAAGUUGGAUAUAGCAAGCUACAGAGUGAAUCUUACAAGCUUCAGUCAAGAUAGAAAAGCUGCAUGUAAGACAAGACAAAGAGCCUGUCACUGAGGAUGUGUUUGACUCAACAUUUGACAGUUCGUGUUACGUAGACGCACGCCUGGAGCGCAAAUAAUAAUGAAGACACAAAAACGGAAAUGUCACUCAUCUCCUUCAAUUCAGCUCCCACACCCACAUGUGCUCACUGCUUUCAAAAUAAAACACACAAAAAAGUUGUUUUUUAUAGAUAAUUAUAGACACAAAUUUCGAAAGGGUUUCCCUGUCCUGUACACACCCACACACACACGUCCUCAUGCAGAGCACAUGCGCUUAUGUACAAACAUGGACACAAUCAAACCAUGAAAACACAAUCUAUAUAUAAACACACACCAAAUAUAGCGUCUUUAGCAUCGACACGUUUACUGUCAGAAACAACAGUCCUGAGAGCCAUUUCAUUUACAUGCAAAUUGACACCCACCAGUCCACCAAACACACUCUCCUGCCUGGUGUGUGUGUGUGUGUUAAUGUGUGUGCGUAGUAGCUCUGCUGGCACUCGCUGAAGGUGCUGUUCUGUCCCGCUGCUUUUUACUGCUCACUAAAACUAGACACAAAGAGGUAGAGAGGCAGAAAGAGGCUCUGAUUUUAUUAUCCAUCUUUGGUGUAUCAACAGACAUGGUGAGAAGCUCAUCAAAGAGGCCCCAUGCAGCCUGGAGUUUGUCAUCUCAUGUUAGCAUCGGUUAAUAAUGGGCAGGGG